rnacentral:rRNA from 1 species
GGGGCCAUAGGCAUGCAGUCGAACGGACUUAACAUUAGUUUACUAUNUGGAGCGGUUAGUGGCGGACUGGUGAGUAACACGUAAGCAACCUGCCUAUCAGAGGGGAACAACAGUUAGAAAUGACUGCUAAUACCGCAUAUGCCUUGAGUAUCACAUGGUACAAAAGGGAAAGGAGUAAUCCGCUGAUAGAUGGGCUUGCGUCUGAUUAGAUAGUUGGUGGGGUAACGGCUUACCAAGGCGACGAUCAGUAGCCGGACUGAGAGGUUGAACGGCCACAUUGGGACUGAGAUACGGCCCAGACUCCUACGGGAGGCAGCAGUCGGGAAUAUUGCGCAAUGGAGGAAACUCUGACGCAGUGACGCCGCGUAUGGGAAGAAGGUUUUCGGAUUGUAAACCAUUGUCGUUAGGGAAGAAAAAAGACAGUACCUAAGGAGGAAGCCCCGGCUAACUAUGUGCCAGCAGCCGCGGUAAUACAUAGGGGGCAAGCGUUAUCCGGAAUUAUUGGGUGUAAAGGGUGCGUAGACGGGUGUUUAAGUUGGUUGUGAAAUCCCUCGGCUCAACUGAGGAACUGCAACCAAAACUGGAUAUCUUGAGUGUCGGAGAGGAAAGUGGAAUUCCUAGUGUAGCGGUGAAAUGCGUAGAUAUUAGGAGGAACACCAGUGGCGAAGGCGACUUUCUGGACGAUAACUGACGUUGAGGC